GUAGGAUGCAAGCGUUGUCCGGAUUUAUUGGGCGUAAAGAGUUCGUAGGUGGUUCGUUAAGUCUGGUGUAAAAGACUGGGGCUCAACCCUGGGAUCGCACUGGAUACUGGCGGACUGGAGUGCAGUAGAGGCAAGCGGAAUUCCCAGUGUAGCGGUGAAAUGCGUAGAUAUUGGGAAGAACACCGGUGGCGCAAGCGGCUUGCUGGGCUGUAACUGACACUGAGGAACGAAAGCUAGGGGAGCAAAUGGGAUUAGAUACCCCAGUAGUCCUAGCUGUAAACGAUGGAUACUAGACGUAUCGGGUAUCGACCCCUGAUGUGUCGCAGCAAACGCGAUAAGUAUCCCGCCUGAGUAGUACGGCCGCAAGGUUG
rnacentral:rRNA from 1 species